rnacentral:rRNA from 1 species
AUUGAACGCUGGCGGCAUGCUUUACACAUGCAAGUCGAACGGUAACAGGUUAAGCUGACGAGUGGCGAACGGGUGAGUAAUGCAUCGGAACGUGCCCGAUCGUGGGGGAUAACGCCGCGAAAGCCGCGAGAAUACCGCAUACGACAUGAGGAUGAAAGUGGGGGACCGUAAGGCCUCGCGCGCACGGGACGGACGAUGUCAGAUUAGGUAGUUGGUGGGGUAAAGGCUCCCCAAGCCAACGAGCUGUAGCGGGUCUGAGAGGACAACCAGCCACACUGAGACUGAGACACGGCCCAGACUCCUACGGGAGGCAGCAGUGGGGAAUUUUGGACAAUGGGCGAAAGCCUGAUCCAGCAAUGCCGCGUGCAGGAAGAAGGCGUUCGGGUUGUAAACUGCUUUUGUACGGAGCGAAAAGGCCCUCUCUAAUACAGUGGGCUCAUGACGGUACCGUAAGAAUAAGCACCGGCUAACUACGUGCCAGCCGCCGCCGUAA